rnacentral:rRNA from 1 species
CCCUACGGGGUGCAGCAGAAGACGAAUAUAUCCCCGGUCUAGCAACUGGGGAAGCAAUUGAUGAUGAGAGGCGUUUAUUGUUUGUGUCACUCACCCGUGCAAGGGAGUAUCUCUAUGUCACUUUUUGCGAAGAAAGAACUGGUCAACAAUGCCAUUCAGGGAGAACCGCGGGUGAAUCUAAAAGGACAUUUAAUAGGUUUCUUAGUGGCGGUCCGCAUAUACCACAGGAUGGAUCAAAAUUUAUCUCUAACUUGUUGAAUAGGAAAAAAUAGCAUGCUUGACCGCCAGACCUUUCAAAACAAGGAUUUAAUCCUCAAGGUAUCGCCUAACUACGAUCCCAAGGGAUUUGAUCCGAAUAAAUACGAAGCUUUUCUGGAUGCCCUCUGCGGAGACAGGGAGUAUCAGAAAGAGGCAAUUCGGGAGACCUUAAGGUAUUUUUUGGGCGGAGAAUAUCAGAGCCUCAAGGAAUUGGCGGGAGGGC